AGCAGUGUGGCUUAGUGGAAAGAGCAUGGGCUGGGGAGUCAGAGGUCAUAGGUUCAAAUCCCAGCUCUGCUG
rfam:Ornithorhynchus anatinus chromosome 1, whole genome shotgun sequence.